CCUACGGGGGGCAGCAGUGAGGAAUAUUGGUCAAUGGCCGGGAGGCUGAACCAGCCAAGUCGCGUGAGGGAAGACGGCCCUACGGGUUGUAAACUUCUUUUGUCGGGGAACAAAGGGCGCCACGUGUGGCGUUGUGAGUGUACCCGAAGAAAAAGCAUCGGCUAACUCCGUGCCAGCAGCCGCGGUAAUACGGAGGAUGCGAGCGUUAUCCGGAUUUAUUGGGUUUAAGGGGUGCGUAGGCGGUCCGGAAAGUCAGCGGUAAAAGCCCGGGGCUCAACCCCGGCGAGCCGUUGAAACUGUCGGACUAGAGACGGAGAGAAGUACGCGGAAUGCGCGGUGUAGCGGUGAAAUGCAUAGAUAUCGCGCAGAACUCCGAUUGCGAAGGCAGCGUACCGGCGCCGGACUGACGCUGAGGCACGAAAGCGUGGGUAUCGAACAGGAUUAGAUACCCUUGUAGUC
rnacentral:rRNA from 1 species